UCUAAAUAAUUUCCCCCCACACUUCUCUUUCUUUCCUUUUUCCCUCUUCUCUCUUCCUCCGUGUGUGCAACUUCUUCCAACCGAACCCAGCCGCAUCUCCAUCUCUCGAAUGCUUCUUCGUUCUUCCUCCAACCCGCACACGUUUCUUUGUUCUUCAUCCAACCCAGGCGCACAUCUCUCUGUUCUUCGUCAUUCACCGUUCACCAUUCUUCAGCUUCAUCUCCAUCUGUCGAACCCAGAACCCAGCCGGAUCUCCAUCUCUCAAACUCGUGCGUCUUCUCAAGCUCAUUAUCAAAACAAAAAUUACAGCUCUAUGACAAAAAGAGGGAAAUGGUAUAAUCGGUGAUGGAGAGAAAAAGGUUCUCGGCGCACGGGCUCGCGAUACUGUGAGCUCUAUCGGCUUGGGAGAACGGAGGCGGGGCAGGGUGGGGUUCAGGCACUAUGCUCGGUCAAAUGUAAUGCUCUGAAAUUACAAUGGUGAUUGUGUGCAGAAUCUACUAGUGGACUUUGCAAGAGAGGUUCCUCGAGCAAGCUCUAUAGGAUGUAUCAAUUGAAACUUUUGAUGUGCUGAAAGGUGUUCCAGAUCUUGUCAUAGGGAACUAUACUGAUAAAAGCCUUGUUGGAGGGUACAUAGAUGUGAUUUAGUCCUGAAACAGAGAAGUAGAGGUGAUAGAAAAAAAUGUAGUCUUAGCGAACAAUUUUCUUUUUCAUAGUAGUUAAUUGAAAUAGAAAGACAAGGAACAAUUUGGUUGUAUAUAAUUUUAUUCUUAAUAUAUAUGAAUAGAUUUGUAAUGCCUUGUUGUUAAAGCGCAAAUGUAUUAUAAUGUGAUUUUUCAUGUUUCGGGGAUGA